UACAGAGGUCUCAAGCGUUGUUCGGAUUCAUUGGGCGUAAAGGGUGCGUAGGUGGCGCCGUAAGUCAGGUGUGAAAUUUCGGAGCUUAACUCCGAAACUGCAUUUGAUACUGCGGUGCUUGAGGACUGGAGAGGAGACUGGAAUUUACGGUGUAGCAGUGAAAUGCGUAGAGAUCGUAAGGAAGACCAGUGGCGAAGGCGGGUCUCUGGACAGUUCCUGACACUGAGGCACGAAGGCCAAGGGAGCAAACGGG
rnacentral:rRNA from 1 species